UGAGUUCAAGACCAGCCUGGGCUACAGUGUGAGUUCCAGAGGAAGGAAAGGCAGGGUCCUGUGGAGUCCGCGGACAAUCCAGAUUUGGAUCUCAGGCAGCCCCCACCUCUGGCUGCUGCUGCUGCUGCUCCCUGCCUGGUGGGAGACGGCACUAACGGGCUUUCUAGCACAUCCCCAGCUGGCAGAAGCUCUGGGAAGGGGAUAGAGGAAGCACUGGCAUGGUGAAGGGGGCUGCAGCUCACUGUGGCCUCCCGGAGUUUACAGUGAGAUCACCGGAGUACCAGACAAGAGUGCGUUAUCUGUUAGCCUGUGCUGCAGGCGUCAUGAAGUGCAUUCUCAUCAGCUGUGUCCCCAGAACAAGGUCUGUGGCAGGAUACAGGGCUCUGGACCAGUGACCAGCAUACAAAGACCUGACUUCUGGGGGCCUGUAGUACCAGGGAUUGAACUCGGGACCUUGCACAUGUGAAGCAGGCAGCAGAACCACUGAGCCAAAUCCCCGGCCCUACAGUGUUUGGAGCCGCUGCCUUCAUGUAGCUCCAAGACACUUCCAUCAGCCCAAAGAGAACCUCAUGCCCGCUGGCCGAGGCUACGCUGAGGUAGACACUGCAGCGCAGGUUCACACUGGCCCUGGAUGCAGAAGGUCGGCAGCUUCAGGGCAGCCUGGUGACGGGAGCCAAGGAGGCGGGGUCCUUUCCGGCCCCGCUCUUCAGUGAUGUCUCGUCAGACAUUGGGGCCUGAGGCCUGGCACGGGUGCCAACAGCAUCCUCUGAGAACAGCAUCUGCUUGUCACCCAGGUGGUCUGCGAUGCCCUGGUCCCCAGCACCUGUGGUGGAGAAGAGGCAGCCUUGGCAGCUAAAGGAGCAGACAAGCAGACAGGUGGACUCAAUACUUGGAAGUCUGAAGAGCUCCGGAUAAACGAGCAGGGUCAGCCCAGCAUGGCUGGGAGCCCGUUGUCCCCCUUCUAGUCUCAGUCACGACCAUGCUAUUUACAGCCUUCCUUGAUAUUUUCAUGCUCAGGAGUUCGUCUGCUUCUUGUAACUUGAUAGGUGUGGAGGUGACUCUUACCAACCCUGCCUGACAGGAGGCAACAAACAGGCUCAGGGACACAAGGGACUUGCCCCAGGUCACUCAGUGAAGCUCUGCCUUCUGACGUUCGAUGUCCUGUUGCACAGUGAACAACUCAGGAAAGGCUCCUCUUUCUGUCCCUGUAAACCCAGCCAUGGCUUGGCUGUGGCCAAGGUGGAUGUCAUCCUCCAGCGGCUCCCGGGUGACGGCCACACCCAUCACUCAGAACCUGCCACAGGCUGGGCACUCUGUCAGCGACUUCCAGAGGGAGACAUGGUUAUCCCCACUUCACACAGGAGGGAAAGGAGACACCUACGAGUUAAGAAAUGUGCCCGCCUACUGACUGCGGGGGCUCAUGCUCCAAGUCCCAGCUACUUGGGAGGCUGAGACAAGAGGAUCGCUGGAGCACAGGAGUUCAGUGCUAGUCUGGACAACGUCGGAGAGCUUGUCUCUAAGAACAAAACAAAAACAAAAACAAGGAACUUGCGCAAUGUCACACAGCUAGAACCAGCCCUGCAACCCACGUGUUUGUUUUUUAAAUGUAGAUAUGACCCCCUGCUAGAACACAGUCACCACGUCAAAGUGAAACAUUGGCCUGUUUCCCUCUCUUCCUGUUUCCGGUGGUACCCUGGACGGACACCUGACUGGAGUGUUAGUUGUGCUCCUCGUGGUUUUGAAGACGUGAUUCUUAACCUGCAGCGAACAGUGUCUGCGGGUGAGCGCUCAAUGGCAGGUUCUUGGGAAUCACCCCAGCUGUCUGAACUGCAGAGGCACAGAGCCGCUGGACAGCUGCAACUAGGCCACACACCGAGAGGUCCCACAGGAGAUUU